ensembl:lncRNA
AUGAGUGCUUCAAAUGCUGGUUCAACAGUUGGUAAACAUGAAGAGAAAAGAAAAAUAAUUCUCACUGAAAAGGCCAUGAUGAAUAAAAUUGAAUCAAUUCAAAAGGAACGUAAAAGGAAAGUGGAUGAAAUGAAACGCCUGAUUUUCUCUCUCAAAGAGCUCAUGGGGGAUGAAAAAAAUGUUUCACUGGUUAAAUCUCAACUGAAUGUUUUCAAGCAACUGUCUGAUAAUGCUACUGCUUUGCAUGAAUCUUUGAUGCCAUUAAUUCCCACGGAUGAACAACAAAAACAAGAGCUAUGGUUUUCAAAGGUCAAUAAACACAAGGAAGGGUGCAUUAAGGAUGUUGAAGCAUGGUUUAAAAUAAUCAACAUACCUCAAGGUGAACCUUUGUUGGAAAUUUACAUGGCUGAAAGGCCCCAGCAACAGGAAGCCUCAUCAGUGGAGAAGGAUGCACAUGAGGACGUGGAAACUGGACAACUACCUCAAUUUCACCAAAAUCUUCAGAAUGAUGAUCAGGAUGAAAUAGCACCAUGUGACAGCAUUUCAAAUCAAGGUAGUAUCAAAGAGAGCAUAAAGUCUAAUGUGUCAUCAACUGCAUCUGCACGUCUCAGAGCCGAGGCUGACAUGGCUGCCUUGCUCACUCGGCAAAAAAUGCUGAAGGAAAAGCAUGCUCUUGAAGAGCAAGAAGAGCAAAUAAGGAAACAAAAGGAACGGCUCCAACUUGAAGCAGAGAUAGCCGCGUCGAUGGCAAAGAUAAAUGUUUUGAGAACCUCUGGAUCAAGUGUAGGGAGGGCUUCUUCUAAGAAUCUGGAUGGCAUGGAGUCUUAUUUUGAGAAAAGACUUAAUAUCCAUGCAGACCCUUUUGUACCACAUAAAGAUGGAAAGGAUGGAGGAGGAUCACAGCCUGUGCUAAGAACUUUAAAUCCAUGCUUUGGAGGUGCAAGAUCAAAGCACUCUGAAGGAGCCAACUAUUUACAUCAGGGGCCUUUAGUGCCAACAAACCCACAGGGCGCAGUUUCUAAGGAUACAGUGCCCCCAGUAUGUCAUCUUCAAAAGGCUAAGGCGCCUUCUUUCAGGAACAUCGGCAGUGAACAUAACAUGAUGUCUAUAAUGGAAAAACAAAAUGAAAUAACAUCAAUGCUGGUGCAGCAGCAAAGUCUAGCAUCACUGCCUAAAAGGGACAUUCAGAUCUUUGACGGUAAUCCAUUGCAAUAUCAUGCCUUCAUGCAGUCAUUUGAACAAAUAAUAGAACAAAGGGCCACCAAUGGAGUGGACUGCCUGCAUUACCUGGACCAGUACACUAGGGGGCAGCCACAAGAGUUGAUCAGAAGCUGUCAACAUAUGACUGAUGGAAAUGGAUAUGCUACAGCGAAGGCGCUACUCCAUGAACAUUUUGGAGAUCAUCAUGUCAUAGCAUCUGCUUACAUGAAUAAAAUAGUGUCAUGGCCAUCAAUUAAAUCAGAAGAUACAAAGGCUUUGCAAGCAUUCAGUCUGUUCUUACGCACAUGUUGCAAUGCCAUGAAAGAUGUAUAUAAUCUGUCUGAUCUUAAUACAUCAGCAAACAUGUUCACUGUGAUUAAGAAGCCACCAUACAAGCUUAGAGACAAGUGGCAUACAUCAGCUUGUGACAUACAGGAAAGGCGUCAGCGCAGAGCUAUGUUCAUUGAUAUUGUAAUCUUCAUUGAACGUCAAGUGAAGAUUGUUAUGGACCCUGUAUUUGGAGACAUACAGGAUGCUCCAACACUGAUGGCAGUCAAGGAUGGCAGCAGGGUAAAAUCCAUGCCACGUUCAAAGGUUGGGGGGAGCAAUUUUGCCACCACUGUUACCACAGUUAAAGGGGCUCCGCCAGACAACAAGAGGGAUGGAUAUCAGAAGGUCUGCCUCUACUGUAAAAAUCGUGGACAUACACUGGAGUUGUGUACUCUAUUGGAGAGGAAAGCUCACAGCGAAAAGAUGAAUUUCCUGAAAACUAAUGGAGUUUGCUUUGGCUGCUUGUGCACUGGGCACAUCAGCAGAGAGUGCAGGAAGCGUCUUUCAUGCAGAAUAUGUGGCUCACGACACCCCAGCAUGUUGCACAUCCAUCAAAAGGAAAAUGAAAAGGAGGAUAAGAGCAUCUCUGUAAAGGCAUCAGACAACAGUAUGGUUGAAGUUCAAACUAGUGGUCUCACUGGGGCCGGUGACCAGGAUUGUAAACUUGCCAUAGUACCAGUCAGAGUCAAAUCAAGUAAGGGUCAAAGGUCAGUUGAAACAUACGCCUUUUUGGAUCCAGGAAGUACUGCGUCUUUCUGCACUGUGGUUCUGAUGGACAAGCUGGGUCUUCCUGGGAGGAAAACAAAGAUUCUUCUGCGCCUUGGUGGAUGCAGUGAUAGUUCUGGAUGUCAGUCAGCAGUAACAGUCAAUAGAAUUUCAGCCAUCACACUUGACGAGCUCUGGAACAAGCAGUUUAGGACAGACUUCCCAGAGAACAAUCACGAUGAACUGCUGGGGAUGUCAAGGGACGAUUGCAGGUUCCUGGAAAUGGCUGAUAGAUCUGUGAAAUUGGUUAAUGGUAAUUACAGCGUUGCUUUGCCUCUUAAAGACAGAAAUAUCAGCAUGCCCAACAACCGCAUAAUCGCUGAACAACGCAUUCUUAACCUGAAGAGGAGGUUUGUAAGAGAGCCAUCAUUUCACAAGGACUACAUUGCAUUCAUGAAUAACCUCAUAGCAAGUGGAUUUGCAGAGAGAGUGCCAGAUAUCGAUUUGGAGCGCAGUGAUGGCAAGGUUUGGUAUAUCCCUCAUCAUGGGGUAUACCAUCCUCAAAAAGGGAAGAUACGGGUUGUCUUUGAUUGUGCAGCAUCAUUCAAAGAGGCCUCACUUAAUGCUCAUCUCUUGCAAGGACCGGACCUCACAAGCACAUUGAUUGGUGUCUUAACCAGGUUUAGAAAGGAACCCAUUGUUCUGAUGUCUGACAUUGAGGCUAUGUUUCACCAGGUCCGAGUGCCAGAGGAAGAUGCAGACUUGUUACGUUUUCUAUGGUGGCCCAAUGGAGACUUUAGCCAGUGUAUGCUGGAGUACAGGAUGGUUGUCCAUCUAUUUGGGGCUACAUCCUCUCCAAGCUGUGCUAAUUUUGCUCUCCGAAGGUGCGCCGAAGACAACAAACAGUUCUUUAGCCAGCAGGUGAUCUAA